GCAGUCGAACGAUGAUGCCCAGCUUGCUGGGCGGAUUAGUGGCGAACGGGUGAGUAAUACGUGAGUAACCUGCCCUUGACUCUGGGAUAAGCCUGGGAAACUGGGUCUAAUACUGGAUACUACCUCUUACCGCAUGGUGGGUGGUGGAAAGGGUUUUACUGGUUUUGGAUGGGCUCACGGCCUAUCAGCUUGUUGGUGGGGUAAUGGCUCACCAAGGCGACGACGGGUAGCCGGCCUGAGAGGGUGACCGGCCACACUGGGACUGAGACACGGCCCAGACUCCUACGGGAGGCAGCAGUGGGGAAUAUUGCACAAUGGGCGGAAGCCUGAUGCAGCGACGCCGCGUGAGGGAUGACGGCCUUCGGGUUGUAAACCUCUUUCAGUAGGGAAGAAGCGAGAGUGACGGUACCUGCAGAAGAAGCGCCGGGCUAACUACGUGCCAGCAGCCGCGGUAAUACGUAGGGCGCAAGCGUUGUCCGGAAUUAUUGGGCGUAAAGAGCUCGUAGGCGGUUUGUCGCGUCUGCUGUGAAAGCCCGGGGCUCAACCCCGGGUCUGCAGUGGGUACGGGCAGACUAGAGUGCAGUAGGGGAGACUGGAAUUCCUGGUGUAGCGGUGAAAUGCGCAGAUAUCAGGAGGAACACCGAUGGCGAAGGCAGGUCUCUGGGCUGUUACUGACGCUGAGGAGCGAAAGCAUGGGGAGCGAACAGGAUUAGAUACCCUGGUAGUCCAUGCCGUAAACGUUGGGCACUAGGUGUGGGGGACAUUCCACGUUUUCCGCGCCGUAGCUAACGCAUUAAGUGCCCCGCCUGGGGAGUACGGCCGCAAGGCUAAAACUCAAAGGAAUUGACGGGGGCCCGCACAAGCGGCGGAGCAUGCGGAUUAAUUCGAUGCAACGCGAAGAACCUUACCAAGGCUUGACAUUCACCGGACCGCCCCAGAGAUGGGGUUUCCCUUCGGGGCUGGUGGACAGGUGGUGCAUGGUUGUCGUCAGCUCGUGUCGUGAGAUGUUGGGUUAAGUCCCGCAACGAGCGCAACCCUCGUUCUAUGUUGCCAGCACGUGAUGGUGGGGACUCAUAGGAGACUGCCGGGGUCAACUCGGAGGAAGGUGGGGAUGACGUCAAAUCAUCAUGCCCCUUAUGUCUUGGGCUUCACGCAUGCUACAAUGGCCGGUACAAAGGGUUGCGAUACUGUGAGAGUGGAGCUAAUCCCAAAAAGCCGGUCUCAGUUCGGAUUGAGGUCUGCAACUCGACCUCAUGAAGUCGGAGUCGCUAGUAAUCGCAGAUCAGCAACGCUGCGGUGAAUACGUUCCCGGGCCUUGUACACACCGCCCGUCAAGUCACGAAAGUUGGUAACACCUGAAGCCGGUGGCCUAACCCCUUGUGGGAGGGAGC
rnacentral:rRNA from 1 species